AAGAGAGUCUACACUGAAAUCUGCUGAGCGGGAACUUUUAAAAGUGGACAUGCCAAAACACCACAAGAGACCCAGGAAACCCAAAUGCCUCUUCUUUAACAAUGAGGAUUUCAGUUGGAAUUGACCAAAGAAAACACUACCAUUUACACAGGCUACUGCCUUCUCAUUCUUUCAUUUAGACAAUGCAUUAGUUUGCAUUACUUAGUACUGCUUUGAAAUAGUUUUUCUGUUUAUAGAGCCACACCAUAUGUCAAAGUUAUGUAACAUGAUUAUUUUUUUAAUUCAUUAGGAAUUGAAACUUGAGAGUGGCCUCAAAACUGGAACUGGUAUCAUAUAAGAGUAUUUGUGUAUUGGUUCAUCUGUAAAACUUCCACCAGUCACUUUUGCUAUAGUGGUUAUAUAAAUUUAGGACUUGAAACCUUCAGUGACUAAAGAUUUUUCUGUGUUGUAUUUAGAGUGAGCUGUCAUCUGAUCAUCUGUGCUGAACAGAUUCCUUCAUCUGCCACAGUGAGAGCCACCACUAUCUAACCCAGCAGGUCCAAACCUUCAGGUGCGCAAGGAAGAAAACGGAGAAAAAAGGAGGAGGAAAAGAAAGCCCAAUAUAGAGAUGCUCUCAGGAAACAUCUGCAGAAGCCUCCAGCUGCUGGAGAAGUUACAUCUGAUCUCCCAUCUACACCAAACUCUGAAGCAGUUUGAAUACAGCUUCAGGUCAAAAACAUCUAACAUGAUAUCAAACACUCCAGCUACCUGCAGUGAAACACAGCCUGCAGCAGAUUUGCCUGCAGGUGAAGGAACAACAAGCACAACAUUCACUGCUACUCUACAGCCUGCAGACACCAUCAACUGGAACAUAUCCUGAAGUAUGUGAGUCCAUCAAGGCAGCAGCUAUAGAUCCUGUCUGAUAUGAUGAGGACGGAGUUAGUCAGCAGAGAUCAUAUCAGGUAAAAUAAGACUCUACAUUUCCACAAUGACAGGAUGGGAGAAGUUCCCAUCACUACCACUUUUACAGAAAAUUAGUGAAUGGAGAGAAAAUCAAGAGAAGUUGGGUGUUAUAUUCCAAGGAAAAAAGUCUUUACUGCUUCUGCUGCAAGCUGUUCUCACAAAAAGCUACAAACUAAUCAGUAAUGGACUUAAUGACUGGAAAAGUUGCACUGAAAUACUCAAAACCCAGAGGAACAGUCCAGAACAUUCUGGGUACAUGACAUCUAUCCAGUGUAAUCUAUAAAUAACCAAGUGCCAGUGUCUUGGAUGUUACUAACAGGUAGUUGGUAGUUGGGCACCAAAUCCUAAUCUCACCUAGGGAACUGAAAUGGCUAGAGAAGGCCCUUCAUCCUCCUCACUCGACAAAAGAAGAGGAGAUUUUGGGUACAUCCCACUUUAUAAGGUAGAGAAAGAGAAGGAGAGUUCCACUGCCUCAUACAGGAGCUGAAGCUCUUCCAUGGCCAGUUCCAGACAUAUUUUAGGAUGCCGGUGGGACAGUUUGACGUCCUCCUGGGGAUGAUAGUGCCACAUCACCAACUACCGGGAUCUUAUUGACCCAGAGCAGCAUCUGUCAGUCUGUCUGAGAUUUUGUUUAUUAGGCCAAGAUGAAAACCUCCUCCCACCUCCCCCAGAUUCCUCAGCACUGGGGGUUCUUUUACAACCAUCACCUCCAGUUUCCGUCUUGAUGUGUCAACUGUAGCCAAUUUGUUGAAAGACAACUGUGAUGUCAUCUGGGCACAAAUGAGGGAAACCCAGAUGCCAGUCUCAACGGAGGAGCUCUGGAGGAACCCCGCCAGGAGGUUCCAGGAGAAAUGGAAUUUCUCUAAUUUUAUCAGUGCACUUGAUGGGAAGCAUGUAGUAUUAAGGCACCAGCUAAUUCUGGCUCCCGUUUUUAUAAUUAUAAGGGCACCUUCUCUGUGGUCCUCCUCACUCUGGUGGAUGUGGACUACCAGUUUCUGGCUGUCGAUGUGGGAGGCUCCGGCAGCAACAGCGAUGGAGGCAUCUUCACGAAUGCCACUCUAGGACAAGCCCUUCAACCUGGUACCUUGAAUGUACCAGCACCAUGCCCCUUUCCUCAGCACCAGAGUUGGGACUGGUGGCAUUUGUGAUAGUAACAGAUGAGGCUUUUCCAAUGAAAACCUUUCUCCUUCAUCCCAGUCCUGGGAAACAUCUGCCAGAGGAUUACCGGGUGUUCAACUACCGCCUCUCCAGAGCACGACGCAUUGCUGAGAAUGGUGUUGGCAUUCUGCUGGAGAGCGUAUCAGAGUGUAUAAGAGCUUUUAUAAUACAUCUAUGUUUGCUGUCAACAAUUUAUGAUGGUUUGGGCAUGGUUUGAAGCAAUGGUAGAGUCCAAACUACGGUUCCUCCUCCAAAACACGCCCACUUGUACAGGAAGACAAUAUACUAUAGCAGAAAAUUAAAUUGAAAAUGUUAUCAAAGUUGCAAUAAACGACAUCCAGCCCCACUAGAUGUCACACUAGCACCAGCACUUCAGACCAAAACAAAUAUGUGUAUCGUUUACUCAGUAAAGUUGGGGGGGGGGGGGGCGAACACACAGCUCACAAAACUCAGAUCAAACUGUCAAGCUAGGCACUGGUGAUCAAAUAUGCAUCAAGAUUCUGAUACUGCAUUGCCUAUUUCUCGCCUUAAAUGUUUUCAGAAACAUGUUUUACUGUUUUUGUAAUUUGAGAAAGUUUGUGACAAGUUCAAGUUGGAAACGGACACAGUGAAUGGCCGAGAUAAACGUCAUCACAUUUUGAACGCGCUCUCUUCAGUGGCUCUCUUCAGCCCAUGAACCCUAUUUGGACGUUCAACGUCCUUCAUGUUCAUGCUGCGACUGCAACUUGACGUACUUCCCAUGUUGUGGUAGCAACUUCCAGUUAAAGUGUGGUGCCUUCCGGAUACAUACAUACUCAACCAUACAAAUACGUACAUACUUAUGCACACACAUACAUACAUUCUCACUCAUACAUAUAUACACACACACACACACAAAAAUGUAUGUACAUAUAUGUAUAUGCAUGAGAGUGUGCAUGUAUGCAAAAGUGCUUAGUACCGGUAUAUAGGUAUAUAUGUAUGUGCAAGUGAAGUAUUCUUUUUUGGCCUAGUCGGCCUCUCAUAAAAACCUCAUUAUACUUGACCUCAUGACAAACGUGAGCCCAGAGCAGCAGCAGCACCCACAUCUUUUCACUUCCUGAUUUCAUUUUCUCUGUCUGGUAAAUGAUAGUCUGCAUGGUUUCCACACACCGUUAGACUGCUUCCCUGUUUUGUCAGUGUAUUGUAUGUACAUCUUUACUUGGUUAGACCUAAAUAAUGUGAUUAAUUUAGUAAAUGAAUCAAUAAGCAUUGCUUUAUGAAAAGCUAGCUAUAAUCCAAGUGUUUUCUUGUCUUACCUAUCAUUUGAAAGGCAACAGUAGGCUAUCAGUGGCAGUACUGGCUGGUGCCCUGUAGGUGAACUUUCAUCCCAUCAUUAUUAGAGAUAUGUAUCAUUUGAAUCUUAGCUACAACCUACUACUACUCUUAUGAAAGCUCAUUAUUGGUAUUAUUGGUCUGGUAGUUAAUCAAUACUCUUUGCAGUUCAGGACAAGAUUAGAUUUUAUUUGUAUUUUAAAUAAAAUGUUUGGUCUCCAGAGCAACAAUGUUUUAAAAAGGAAAGUCAAUAACAAUAGUCUGUUUUACUGGAUACAAGACAAAAAUCUAAAUAAAAUAAGUAUGCUAAUAUCUGCCGAGCAACGUAUCAGUCGGGCUCUAGUUUAAUGUGAACUAAACAACUAAAUUAGUCCUGCCCAGCUCCUCUGCUUUUCUGCUUCUCAUAUCCAGUAAAGUCUCCUGCCGUUUGCUGCCCCAGCCCACACCCAGCCAGAUCCCGUGUCGUCAGCCCACCCCACUGAUGUCCAGCCAAUUCUCCAACCCGCUGACACCCAGUCAGAACUCCAGCUGCACAAUUAAUGCCUCGGCCCUGUCAUGUUUCCUUUGCCCUUUUUGCCUCUGUCCCUGUCUUCGGCCCCACCCUCUCUUCUCUUGUCUUUGCCAUUCUCCACCUGUCCACAAGUUCCCCCCUGGACUUUCCUGCCUGGUUCCAUCACCCACCUGCUCCCCUCUUGCUAUUCUCCUUGUGUUGUCUUCACCUGCUGCUCAUUACCCCAUCAGUCCCAGUACUAUAUAUACACCGAUCCUCCGUUAUCCAUUCCCUGCCGUAGUCAAUGACUACGUUUACAUGCACAAAAUAUACCAGUUUUUGCCCUUAUUCCGAAAAAGACAAUACUCCUACUAAGCUGUUUAC